AUUGAACGCUGGCGGAAUGCUUUACACAUGCAAGUCGAACGGCAGCACGGGGCAACCUGGUGGCGAGUGGCGAACGGGUGAGUAAUACAUCGGAACGUGCCCAAUCGUGGGGGAUAACGUAACGCAAGUUACGCUAAUACCGCAUACGAGCUACGGAUGAAAGCGGGGGAUCGCAAGACCUCGCGCGCAUGGAGCGGCCGAUGUCUGAUUAGCUAGUUGGCGGGGUAAAGGCCCACCAAGGCGACGAUCAGUAGCUGGCCUGAGAGGUCGACCAGCCACACUGGGACUGAGACACGGCCCAGACUCCUACGGGAGGCAGCAGUGGGGAAUUUUGGACAAUGGGCGCAAGCCUGAUCCAGCCAUGCCGCGUGCGGGAAGAAGGCCUUCGGAUUGUAAACCGCUUUUGGCAGGAACGAAACGGCGACUCCUAAUACGGGUGGCUAAUGACGGUACCUGCAGAAUAAGCACCGGCUAACUACGUGCCAGCCGCCGCCGUAAAAC
rnacentral:rRNA from 1 species